UACGUAGGUGGCAAGCGUUGUCCGGAUUUACUGGGCGUAAAGAGCGCGCAGGCGGUCGUUCAAGUCGCGUGUGAAAUCCCUCGGCUCAACUGAGGAAGUGCACCCGAAACUGGCAGGCUUGAGUACUAAAGAGGGUCGCGGAAUUCCCGGUGUAGAGGUGAAAUUCGUAGAUAUCGGGAGGAACACCGGUGGCGAAGGCGGCGACCUGGGUAGAUACUGACGCUGAGGUGCGAAAGCGUGGGGAGCAAACAGG
rnacentral:rRNA from 1 species